GGCGUGGUAGCAAAGUGGUUACUGCGUGUGACUAGAAUUUGAGGUCGCUAGUUUAACUAGCCUCAUCGUGCUAUCACAUUCCUUCGGGAGCGUAGGUUCGAGUCCUGCCCACGUCG